UAGGGAAUCUUCCACAAUGGAGGAAAGUCUGAUGGAGCAACGCCGCGUGAGUGAAGAAGGGUUUCGGCUCGUAAAACUCUGUUGUUAAAGAAGAACAUAUCUGAGAGUAACUGUUCAGGUAUUGACGGUAUUUAACCAGAAAGCCACGGCUAACUGCGUGCCAA
rnacentral:rRNA from 1 species